rnacentral:rRNA from 1 species
CCUACGGGAGGCAGCAGCCGAGAAUCAUUCACAAUGGGGGAAACCCUGAUGGUGCGACGCCGCGUGGGGGAAUGAAGGUCUUCGGAUUGUAAACCCCUGUCAUGUGGGAGCAAAUUAAAAAGAUAGUACCACAAGAGGAAGAGACGGCUAACUCUGUGCCAGCAGCCGCGGUAAUACAGAGGUCUCAAGCGUUGUUCGGAAUCACUGGGCGUAAGGCGUGCGUAGGCUGUUUCGUAAGUCGUGUGUGAAAGGCGCGGGCUCAACCCGCGGACGGCACAUGAUACUGCGAGACUAGAGUAAUGGAGGGGGAACCGGAAUUCUCGGUGUAGCAGUGAAAUGCGUAGAUAUCGAGAGGAACACUCGUGGCGAAGGCGGGUUCCUGGACAUUAACUGACGCUGAGGCACGAAGGCCAGGGGAGCGAAAGGGAUUAGAUACCCCAGUAGUC